rnacentral:rRNA from 1 species
UACGGGGGGAGCAAGCGUUGUUCGGAUUUACUGGGCGUAAAGGGCGCGUAGGCGGCCAGCGCAAGUCAGUUGUGAAAUCUCCGGGCUUAACUCGGAAAGGUCAACUGAUACUGCGCGGCUAGAGUGCGGAAGGGGCAACUGGAAUUCUUGGUGUAGCGGUGGAAUGCGUAGAUAUCAAGAGGAACACCUGCGGCGAAGGCGGGUUGCUGGGCCGACACUGACGCUGAUGCGCGAAAGCCAGGGGAGCGAACGGG